rnacentral:lncRNA from 1 species
GAAAGAACACUGUGUACAGAAGUUGUGCUCAGAGUGUAAGAGAUCCGUCACAAAUAAGCUUCAAAGACAAAAAGGUAGGAAAGACUGACAAAAUUAGAGGUGAUCUUAGCAUAGUCACGUGACCGUAAGCAAUGCUAACAAGCCUCCAGCUCAUGGAGACUGCGCAUGUCUAAGACUGUAUGUUCAAUAACUUCGUCACACUUGGAGUGCCUUCAGUGGUAGUUUGGCAGUGAUAUACAUGGAAGAUUAACUGACUCUUCCAGUUUCGAGUCUCUCAGGCCAAAUGAUAUAAUCUAUGAAGAUGGCUAUUUCCAGUGCGAAACACAUACACAAGCAUGCACGCAGCCUAUGCUAGUGAUUCCGCAGAGAAACAAAAUGUCUAACAGUCAGACACUUUCCAGUGUUUCAGAGAUAAAAUUUUGCCAGAAGUAAAAGUCGGCAUGCCCACGAUUGCGAAUUGUGUUAGAGUUACCAUCAUCAGAAGUACUGUUAGGACUUUGUGUAAGACACCUUCUCCAGCAUCAGUAUAUCAAUACAACUUUAGUGGAACGGUCAAUCUGCGCUCCUUAGAUAGCUUUCUAUCUGUGCUGGUCUGCUGCGACCCUGAAAUAGUGCACACGUACUCCAUGUGACCAGGAAAGAAAGUGGCCUCCCUGAAAUGUUAGCAGUAGAGGAAGCUACUUAUUGUCUGCUGCCAAAGAAAACUGUUUAAUGAUCUGUAAAAUGUAGAUUAACUUCUUGUGUUAUGAAUGUGACUGUAAGAAAUGCUUAUUUCAUUACCUAGCCUUUGAAAAAUGAAUCCUUUUGUGUUGCUAAUCACCGAGGGGAUAUAUUUUAAGCUGGUGUAAUACGCGAAAGUGUCAGAAGAAGAAAGCUAGAUUCGAAUUUGAAAACUCAGUGGCAUGGUCUUUCCCUCAAAUUCUUACAUCACACUAAGUUGCAUUUGGAGACCUUAAACACACCAACAUUAAUAACAGCUCCUGUCUCAUAGAGAAAGCAUUGAAACACUUCUCUUCACGAACAUCGAGUAUACAGAAAUUACUGUCUAAUUUUCUCGCCCAUCCACCACACAUGUGUGGACUCAAAGGUCUACCAAUGUUGCACAGAAAGUCAACAGGCUGUGUAUGCCAAUUUCAUCUGUGCAGUUAGCAAGAACUAGCCAUUAAACUAUAUAUUUAAAUGUUUUGUAAAUAGACUUUUGAUUACUACAGUUUUGUUCGAACUGCUGUCUUUUAAAAUAAUUAGACUUGAUUUGAAUUUUUUAAAUAAUCUGUUAUAUUAGAUGUUGCGUUACUGACUGUGAUUCAAUGUACACUCAGCCAUAUUCCUGUGGGAAGUAUCAAUCCUAUUGACUUUCUUGGCAUGAGCCAGAAGCUCUUAGUUUCUCUAAGGACUUUAAGUAUAAAGAUAAAAAAAAAUCAAAAUGAAAUGCUAGUGAAGAAAUAAGAAACUUAUUGUACAAAAUGUAUUUUUAAAAAUCUUAAGAUUCAUGUGAUUUACACUGCCUGUUAAUCUAGUCUCUGUGAAAUAACCACAGCAUAUUUGUUAAGACAGAAACACCAAAUAUUUACGAACUUUGUACAGCACCUUGUUAUAAUAUGUGACUUUAAAUGGUAAACAUCUCCGUUGUGAUCGUGUGAGCCCACAGAAGAAUUAUUUCUGCUGUUCUGUAAAAUCCAGCUCUCAGAAUUCAGAUUCCCUGCAGCUGCUGUAUCACCAAUAAACAAGAAUUAAUGUGAAAAAAAUAAUUUUUAAGUUUAUGAUCACUGUGCAUUUUGUUAAUGAAUUCAGAGGAUUUUAUUUUUACCGGGAAUUCUCUCAGCCAGUAAAUACAACUGUUGAUUUCAACAAUACUAUCAUUUCUGUGGUUUCUCUAUUCUUGAUACAACUACCAAAACACCGGAAGCUUGGUGCAAAGUAUGACCUGACAAAGAUACAAUCGAUGACUUUUCCUGCAUGCUGCCUGAGAUAAUAUUGUAAUUUGAAAUGUCUUAUCAAAAAAUUAUCUCCUAACCCAAACUGUAACCGGCAAUAUUUCUUAUGUGUAUAACUGAUGGUAUGUCGAUACCUAAAGCAAUGUCUGUCGUACAUGUAUGUUAUAUGUACCGUUUAAUCAUGUUAAACUGUAGUCUGUGAGACUGUCAUUGCCUGAAUUAGUCGACUGUGUAUAAGCCAUUGUGUUCACUGUUUUCCUAACCUCACCGUGUGUCCUAACACUGACUGAAAUAUAAAUGUUUGUAAAUUACUC